CCCUUAGAUGUUCUGGGCCGCACGCGCGCUACACUGAUUCAUGCAACAAGUUUUGUCCUUGGCUGAUAGGCCUGGGUAAUCUUUGAACGUGAAUCGUGAUGGGGAUAGAUGAUUGCAAUUAUUCAUCUUCAACGAGGAAUUCCUAGUAAACGCAAGUCAUCAGCUUGCAUUGAUUACGUCCCUGCCCUUUGUACACACCGCCCGUCGCACCUACCGAUUGAAUGGUCCGGUGAAAUCUUCGGAUCUGAGAGAUGUCUGAUUAAUUUCGGACGCCUUUUGGAAAAGUUGUUUAAACCUUACCAUUUAGAGGAAGGUGAANUCGUANCA
rnacentral:rRNA from 1 species